GCCAGCACAGGGAGGGGAGAGCCCAGACCAGGAGUGGCGGGUUAGUACAGGGUCACCUCUCCCCGCGGGUCUUCCAACUCCUCACUUCUCAGCCCCCACAGCAGCUGUAGUUCCGGGGUGGGACGGGACCCCGGACCCAGGCUGGCUCCGGGCCUUUUCCGUGCGGUGGCGUUUCCCUUUGCAGUUCUCAGCUCUGGUCCCUAGGACGCUCCCAGUAGCCUAAGCGGGCAGCUAAAAGGACAGCUAAAAGAGUUGAGCGUGCAUCCUGGGAGUAGGGAGAGCUGCCCCUCUGAGCUUUAAAAGACCGAAUCUGUGCCGGGGAAACCCUGCCGUUUACCACGUUAACACCUCCGGGGUACCUCGGUGAGAAUUCUCAUUAGAAACAGCCACACGGACUUGCAGAUGCGUGGCCUGGCGUAGCACCGGGAGGAAUUCACAUUUGACUGUGAAUCUGGCCUCGGAGCAUCCCAGGAGGCACGGGCUGGGCGCCGCCACGUCUGCCGUGCAACUCUGGCUGAGCCCUGUGAGCUGUCAGGGCCUCGGAGACUGUCCCUGGGUCCAGAGACCGGGAACUGGGAAACUUUGGGGUAAACUUUGCAAACUUCUCUCCUGGCGCUAGAGAGGCCGCGGGUUGGAAAGGUUGCAGUAUCGGCUGCGUGGGUCCCAGGCCUGAUUUGUGCACCACGGAGCUGGCCAGAACGCUCCAAGAGGAGCGCGAAGUUCUUCAGCUGGUCUUCCGAGCUCCUGAACCUCCCGGACCAGGUCCUCUGCCGCCGGCCUUCGAGGGGCCAGAUCUGCGCUGCGGCUCCCGGAAUCUCAGCAUGAAUGGAAAACCGUGGCUCUGAGCGCGAGUGGUUUUAUUUCUCUUUUCCUAUGCAGGAUCAUCCCGUUUCCACCUGCGAUGAGCAUUUCUGUUGACCUCCUUGAGUCUGUCCCCUCCCCCGCCCGUGGAUCUGCUUCCCAGGCAUCCCUUUCUCAUCCAUCUUGGGAGAUGAAUAUGUCGCCUUAUUGGAUGCGGAGGCCAGAGCAGGGCGAUGGGGCUCGGCCAACGUCGCACAUUUUCUUCAUGCAUAUUGAGAAUAUGGUAAUGAGUGCGUUUGCAUUGUUGCAUGGAAAUGAUGCGGCUCCCUCUGCGGUGUGGAAUGGGCAAGGUUGGUGUGGACCCAAGGGAGCCCGAUAGUGGGCCCGGGGCCUUGUGGCCCUAGUUACCCACUGGGGGGAGACGAAGAAGUGACCUCUCAGAGCGCCUUGCCCGCCCUCGGCUUGCUCUGGUUUCCACAAAGGCGCCGCUGCCUGGGUUAAAGCCUGGUGAAGGGAAACCAGCCUCUCCCGCCUGGCUGUUGCACCCCAAGUCCAUGGGCCUCGGAACACUUUACCGGUGAUCAGAGUCCUGAGAAGGAGAACUUGGCUCUGUUCUCUGAUGACUAUGCGUUGUUUGCGACAAGAGUGACCUUUUAGGAUGAAACAUAGUGGCACCAUGUGCCCUGCACCACAGGCAUCUAUUUCCUUCACCCUGGGGGCGUGUGGGCAUCACUUGACCCUGGCAGGUUGACUCAUUGGCUAUCGGAGACCCAAUUGUUUUCUAGACUUGGGCUGGGCGACUAGGCUGGCUCCCAGUCAUCUAACAGAAGCAGCCCCUCCCUGAGGCCAGCCAAGCUCAGGUGAAGGGGCCCGGCCUUCAGAAGGCAGAUCAGGCUCUGCUUGGGGCUGCAGGCAGGGGGGAAGAUUUAUGCUCGCUCACUCCCUCACUUGCUGGCUGGGAGCUCAGGGCCCCAGAGCCCACAUCUAGCAAUCAAAGCUCAUAGCCUACCUCAGGACAUUUUCCUGCCUCCCCUACUUCCUACUAGGGAAGUCCCUAGCCGGGAGUUCCAUGGCUGGCUGAAAUGCAUUGUGGAAAGGAGGCCAUUGUCUAGGGUCAGGAUUCACAACCAUCAAGCAUCCUGCCAGCACUCCUACGGUUAGGGACUGUAGAGUUUUCCUUUAAUCGAGUCCUUUUCAAAACUCAAAUGCAUGGUUUUGGAUAAGUAUGUAAUCCUUCCACCACUUCUGCAAACUGGAAAGUAGCUGUUGACAGAAAUGAAAUGCAGCAAACCAUGCUCCUGAGCCUUGCCCCUUCCUGCUUAGGGUUCAAGUACACCCAGUGUCAUUAACAAACGCUGGGGGUGUGCUAGUGAGUCUUGGAAGAAAUGAGAGCAUGAAAAGGGAAUGUUUCUUCCUCCAUCCUAAAAUGAUGUUGAGGGUCUCAAGAGCUGUCCUGGCUUAGGGUUUGGGGGGUGUUGCUCUGUUAACACAAAUGUGAAAGGUUUAAGGCAAAACUCAACCCACUGAGCUAUUAUUACCAAAUAAUCUCAUUACACGUUUCCAGGCAGCACCGCAUCUAAUUCUCACCAUCCCUCACUUGGCAGAGACUGUCCAGAGGCCACACGUGGUUGUGUAGGAUGUUUACUGAACACACUUCCAAGAGGAUAACAGAGUACUUAUCACACUCCCACCCUCACCCCUACACCCGUGUUCACCAAACUGUGUGUCCUGGUUUUGGCAAAACAGGGAAGCUAUUUUUCUAAUCUGUACAAAAAGUUGGGGAGAUGACCCAGUCCUUGAAAAACUGGAAAACUGAGGCUCUGGGUACUUGGAAAAGCCUGAACUGAUAUUUUUAAGUAUUCCUAGAGAGUUGGAGUCUUUGAGGCUUGGGGCAGGGAUCUGGGAAGACCAGCCACUGGAAGGGUUGAAGGAAAGAGUCACCUGGACCCCAGAUGCCUAUCCCUCAAGCUCUUCACUGUUUACCAAGUCCCAGAGCAAAAACUGAACUGGCAUCCAGACUGCAGGGUCCGUGCUAGAGUCCCAGUUGUGGGAGAGGAGAAGAGAUCUAUAUUUUAGGCUUAAUGAUGGGUGUCUGAGCAAUGUAGGAUUGACCACACGUGCUGUUCCUCAUUCCCACGCACACUGCUGGAACUUUCAGACUCUUCAUGGCACACGAAGAUGGCCUUGCACCUCUACUUUUGUGAUUAAUCUUGAUAGUGACUUUCCAUUGAUUGGAUUGUCUGAAUUAUACUUUAAGACCACUCAAAUAUUUAGAUCUCAAGGUUUGUUUGACAAAUGGGAAGGCUCAAAUAUGUAAGGCUGAUCCUUCAGGUCCUCAUGCACUCUCCUUCCCUCCCCCUUCCCUUCCCACCUCCAUUUCUCCUUUCCUCUCCCUUUUCUUCCCUUCCCUUCCUUUUCCUUUCCCCCUUCCCCUUCUCCCCUUCUCUUUCCUUUCCUGCUCUUCACCUUCAGCCCUAGCUAGGCAAGCCUUCUGCGACAAAGGCCACAUACUCAGCCCUUACCACACUCCAUUCUGAGGGCAUCUUCUGGAGCCCUCUGUGGUUCAGUCCUAAGCUCAUUGGCCUUUCUCAGGGACCUCUAGAUGGUAGGGUAGGUAGCCACUCUUGGUGUCCAUGAAAAUGGAUCAGAUCCUGCUGGCAGACAGCCCUCUUCAUGGAAAGAAGCCAGAGGGAAGGAGGGCAGAGGCAGGAAGGCUGAGAACAUCUUCCCAGCUUUCCCCCCUGGCCCUCUCUGCUUUGCUGGAGCUGUUCACUCCAGUGUAGGAUAAAGUUGAGGUCCCAUAGGUUGAGUUUUGCUUUCUAGAAGUCCAAGGGAUGGAUAGUCAUGUCCUUUUGCAGGGUGAUCACCCAGUUGGUCACAGAGUUGUAGCAGGGCUGAUUCUCGAGCUUCUGGAAGAACCUAGAAAGUCUACUACCCAGUAGGAAUAACAGAUCCAGGCUCUCCCAAUGCCCCCCUUAGCUUAGGCUUGUCUUGGCUCUCAUGAACCAUCUUAGACACGGAUGACUCUGUUUCUUCUCUGUCAUUCUCUCACUCUCUUCCUCCUCUUUGCCCUCCUUUGCUUAUUUCUUUGCAACUAGCAGUUGCAGAAAGCCUUCUCUGUGCUAAGUGCUGGGCAUGGGGUGGUGAGGGUACACGGAGUCUGGCUUGAAUGGUCUUUGUUUUGUUGGGCAGCAACCAAAUCAGGAAACAAUUGAGACAAGGCUAGGACCAAGGAUGUUGUGGAUAGAACCCUACCCAACCCAGAGCCUCCUGGAACACCAGAAAGGAAGCUUGUUUGGAAGCAUGACUACAGCUGGUGGGGUCUGCUACGGUACAAUGCUGCUGUUAUUUUUGUCUCAUGUUUGAGGAGGGAAGGACCUUAUCAGUAUGAUGAGUACCCGUAUAAAGGGAUGGAAGACACAGGUUGGAACCCAAAGUAGGCAGAGUCCAAUGCACACAGCCACCAGCUGAGGGAGGCCAACAGCAGUAAGAGGCAAGAAAGGAUUUCUCCUCAGAGCCCCAGGCGAGUGAAGCCAAAAAAGAACCACUUCUUGUAAUUUCAGCCAUCCAGAGUAGGACCCUGAAUGACAGAAGCCCUGGAACCCAGCAGAUUGGAUGAUGGGAUAGGGGCUAGGAGACCUUAACUUUAGAGGCACAGGCAGAGGAUGGGUUUGGGAGAAAGUGACAUUUUAGUUGAGAUAGAGCAGUUAAAUAAAUAAGCAAAUAAAUAAAUAAACCUCUGGGGAAAGUGCUUUCUAUGAUAGAGUGAUCACUACCCACAAAUAGUAUUGACCAACUGAGAUGCAGCCCUCCAGCCUGAGAGAUGAGCUAAAUAUAUAACUGGCUUCAAAGACAAGUGCUGAAAGGAAGGCUGGGAGUUGGACUCUAAAUAGCUGACUACAUGUCUAAGCAGUACUGUGUUGCAUAUAUUAGAUUAAAUAAAGUGUGUGAUUAAAAUUAA